GGAUGCCUUAGUGUGGCGAGUGAGAGGGCAAAAGCUCAAAUUGGAAAUCGGCCUCCCGUGCGGUUGGAUUUUUUGUGUUGUUGUUUGAGACCGGAUUGAAGGUUGUUGGAACGUCCCGCCCACACUGGAGACGGCCCCCUAGGAUCUAUUCUCACUGUAACAUACUUUCCAAGAGUCGAGUUGUUUGGGAAUGCAGCUCUUCUUGGGAGGUAAAUUCCUUCUUGAGCUUGCUAUUGACGAGAGACCGAUAGCGAACAAGUACCGUGAAGGAAAGAUGAAAAGCACUUUGAAAAGAGAGUGAAAAAGUACGUGAAAUUGUUAAAAGGGAAGGGUAUUGAAUCAGACUUGGUGCUGUUGUUCAACUGUGUUUUGGCAUACUGUACUCACUCCUACUAAGCCCAAGUGGGGUGUUUGGGAGUGAAAAGGAAGUAUGAAGGUCCCUCUUCUCAGUGUUUGCACCACUUUCAUAGCUCCAUAUGCGCCUCAGGACUGCGCUUCGGAAGGACCUUGGCAUAACGAUUCUGUACCGCCGGUCU
rnacentral:rRNA from 1 species